rnacentral:rRNA from 1 species
UACGUAGGGUGCGAGCGUUAAUCGGAAUUACUGGGCGUAAAGCGUGCGCAGGCGGUGAUGUAAGACAGUUGUGAAAUCCCCGGGCUCAACCUGGGAAUUGCAUCUGUGACUGCAUCGCUAGAGUACGGUAGAGGGGGAUGGAAUUCCGCGUGUAGCAGUGAAAUGCGUAGAUAUGCGGAGGAACACCGAUGGCGAAGGCAAUCCCCUGGACCUGCACUGACGCUCAUGCACGAAAGCGUGGGGAGCAAACAGG